rnacentral:rRNA from 1 species
UCCGGAGGGAGCUAGCGUUAUUCGGAAUUACUGGGCGUAAAGCGCACGUAGGCGGCUUUGUAAGUUAGAGGUGAAAGCCUGGAGCUCAACUCCAGAAUUGCCUUUAAGACUGCAUCGCUUGAAUCCAGGAGAGGUGAGUGGAAUUCCGAGUGUAGAGGUGAAAUUCGUAGAUAUUCGGAAGAACACCAGUGGCGAAGGCGACUCACUGGACACAUAUUGACGCUGAGGUGCGAAAGCGUGGGGAGCAAACAGG